rnacentral:rRNA from 1 species
GUAGGUGGCAAGCGUUGUCCGGAAUUAUUGGGCGUAAAGCGCGCGCAGGCGGUUCUUUAAGUCUGAUGUGAAAGCCCACGGCUCAACCGUGGAGGGUCAUUGGAAACUGGAAAACUUGAGUACAGAAGAGGAAAGCGGAAUUCCACGUGUAGCGGUGAAAUGCGUAGAGAUGUGGAGGAACACCAGUGGCGAAGGCGGCUUUCUGGUCUGUAACUGACGCUGAGGCGCGAAAGCGUGGGGAGCAAACAGGGAUUAGAUACCCUGGUAGUCCACGCCGUAAACGAUGAGUGCUAAGUGUUAGGGGGUUUCCCGCCCCUUAGUGCUGCAGCUAACGCAUUAAGCACUCCGCCUGGGGAGUACGGCCGCAAGGCUG